CAGUAGCCGCGGUAAUACGAAGGGGGCUAGCGUUGUUCGGAAUUACUGGGCGUAAAGCGCACGUAGGCGGAUAUUUAAGUCAGGGGUGAAAUCCCGCAGCUCAACUGCGGAACUGCCUUUGAUACUGGGUAUCUUGAGUAUGGAAGAGGUUAGUGGAAUUGCGAGUGUAGAGGUGAAAUUCGUAGAUAUUCGCAGGAACACCAGUGGCGAAGGCGGCUAACUGGUCCAUAACUGACGCUGAGGUGCGAAAGCGUGGGGAGCAAACAGGGUUAGAUACCCCUGUAGUCCCUGUCUCUUAUAA
rnacentral:rRNA from 1 species